GAGUUUGAUCCUGGCUCAGAACGAACGCUGGCGGCGUGGAUAAGACAUGCAAGUCGAACGAGAGAAUUGCUAGCUUGCUAAUAAUUCUCUAGUGGCGCACGGGUGAGUAACACGUGAGUAACCUGCCCCCGAGAGCGGGAUAGCCCUGGGAAACUGGGAUUAAUACCGCAUAGUAUCGAAAGAUUAAAGCAGCAAUGCGCUUGGGGAUGGGCUCGCGGCCUAUUAGUUAGUUGGUGAGGUAACGGCUCACCAAGGCGAUGACGGGUAGCCGGUCUGAGAGGAUGUCCGGCCACACUGGAACUGAGACACGGUCCAGACACCUACGGGUGGCAGCAGUCGAGAAUCAUUCACAAUGGGGGAAACCCUGAUGGUGCGACGCCGCGUGGGGGAAUGAAGGUCUUCGGAUUGUAAACCCCUGUCAUGUGGGAGCAAAUUAAAAAGAUAGUACCACAAGAGGAAGAGACGGCUAACUCUGUGCCAGCAGCCGCGGUAAUACAGAGGUCUCAAGCGUUGUUCGGAAUCACUGGGC
rnacentral:rRNA from 1 species